rnacentral:rRNA from 1 species
ACGACUGCUAAGACUGGAUAGGAGACAAGAAGGCAUCUUCUUGUUUUUAAAAGACCUAGCAAUAGGUAUGCUUAGGGAGGAGCUUGCGUCACAUUAGUUAGUUGGUGGGGUAAAGGCCUACCAAGACUAUGAUGUGUAGCCGGGCUGAGAGGUUGAACGGCCACAUUGGGACUGAGACACGGCCCAAACUCCUACGGGAGGCAGCAGUAGGGAAUUUUCGGCAAUGGAGGAAACUCUGACCGAGCAACGCCGCGUGAACGAUGAAGUAUUUCGGUACGUAAAGUUCUUUUAUUAGGGAAGAAUAAAUGAUGGAAAAAUCAUUCUGACGGUACCUAAUGAAUAAGCCCCGGCUAACUAUGUGCCAGCAGCCGCGGUAAUACAUAGGGGGCAAGCGUUAUCCGGAAUUAUUGGGCGUAAAGGGUGCGUAGGCGGUUAAAUAAGUUUAUGGUCUAAGUGCAAUGCUCAACAUUGUGAUGCUAUAAAAACUGUUUAGCUAGAGUAAGAUAGAGGCAAGUGGAAUUCCAUGUGUAGUGGUAAAAUGCGUAAAUAUAUGGAGGAACACCAGUAGCGAAGGCGGCUUGCUGGGUCUUUACUGACGCUGAGGCACGAAAGCGUGGGGGAGCAAACAGGAUUAGAUACCCUGGUAGUCCACGCCGUAAACGAUGAGUACUAAACGUUGGGUAAAACCAGUGUUGAAGUUAACACAUUAAGUACUCCGCCUGAGUAGUACGUACGCAAGUAUGAAACUUAAAGGAAUUGACGGGACUCCGCACAAGCGGUGGAUCAUGUUGUUUAAUUCGAAGGUACCCGAAAAACCUCACCAGGUCUUGACAUGCUUCUGCAAAGCUGUAGAAACACAGUGGAGGUUAUCAGUUGCACAGGUGGUGCAUGGUUGUCGUCAGCUCGUGUCGUGAGAUGUUGGGUUAAGUCCCGCAACGAGCGCAACCCUUAUUGUUAGUUACCAGCACGUAAUGGUGGGGACUUUAGCAAGACUGCCAGUGAUAAAUUGGAGGAAGGUGGGGGCGACGUCAAAUCAUCAUGCCCCUUAUGACCUGGGCUACAAACGUGAUACAAUGGCUGUUACAAAGGGUAGCUGAAGCGCAAGUUUUUGGCGAAUCUCAAAAAAACAGUCUCAGUUCGGAUUGAAGUCUGCAACUCGACUUCAUGAAGUUGGAAUCGCUAGUAAUCGCGAAUCAGCAUGUCGCGGUGAAUACGUUCUCGGGGUUUGUACACACCGCCCGUCA